AUGCCCCGCGCCCUCUCUCUCUCUCUCGCCCCUCUCCUCUGCCUCCUCUCUCUGGCUCUGGUCGCCGUCGGUGAGAAGCCAGCUGGCCGCCGUCCGCCAUGGUUUCGUGGAGCGACGACAGCGAGGAAUCGGGCUACGAGUACUCUUCAGGCGGCUCCCCUAUCAAGGUCAAUCCCGGCUACAAUCGAGGACCCGAACUACUCUGGUGUUGAUGAUGAGGUGAUGGUGAUUUGUGAGCAUGGCCAGCCGGCGAAGAGGCAUGUUUACUUCGAAGGGAUUAGCAUUGGGAGGAGGUUCAUUGCCUGUGGACUUGAUGAAGCAAGCAGUUGUGGUGUUGUUCAUUGGGUAGAUGAGGAGUGGUCAGAGCAUUUGCAGAAUGCUCUUCACAAACUACGGCUUUUGUAUGAGGAUUGCCAGCGUGCUAAUAGGAUGGCAUGUCUGGAACAUUCAUCACUUGUCCACAAUCUCACAUCACAGAAGAACAAGCUACAAGAGACUUAUGAGAAGCUUGUUGAGGAUGUGAACAACCUACUUGAUACCCAGGACAAUAUUCCCAAGGAAAAUGAAGUCCAACAAGGUGAACAUGAGGAGAUCACUCCUCCUUUGGACAACAAUAUUUCAGCUUUGAAGGAACAGCUGGGUGCAAUGGAUGCUGAGAACAAAGAACUGAAGCAAAAGGUUGACCAGUUGAAGAGCAUUCAGGUUGCCCAAGGUAAUGUGAUUAGGAAUCUGAAGUUUGCUCAUUUGGAGGAGAAGGAAAAGUUGAGCACUGAGAGGAGGAAUUUGGAGUUUCACAUUGCUGAUCUUGUCAAAGCUAGUGACAAGAACAAGAGAAAGCUGAAGGACAUCAAGGAUAUUUGCGAUGAAGAGUGA
rnacentral:rRNA from 1 species